CAAUCUGUGAGGUGAAUAGGGAGCCUACAUCCUGGGAGCAAAUUUUUACCCCUCACACAUCAGAUAGAGCACUAAUCUCUAGGGAAUAUAAAGAACUCAAGAAGCUAAGCACCAAAAAGACAAAUAACUCAAUCAAUAAAUGGGCCAAGGACCUGAAUAGACACUUCUCAGAAGAGGAUACACAAUCAAUCAACAAAUAUAUGAGAAAAUGCUCAUCAUCUCUAGCAAUCAGAGAAAUGCAAAUCAAAACUAGACUGGGAAUUGAUUACAUGUUUCAAUGAAUCAACAGUUGGGGAUGUCUGCCUUGCUUGAGAGUGAAGUCUGCUCAGACCUGCCCUUUUCAUUAAGCCUUACCUCAAGAAGGCUGGUUGGAAACUCUAGGUGUUGUUAUUACUUUUUAAUUCACAAAACUAGAGAACAGACUCAUUAAUUUCAAAAACUAUAUCCACAAUGUAAACUAAACAUUAGCAAAUGUUUCUGAUAGUGGAAAGACACUGCUUCAGCCACACCAAGCUGUGAGCUUCCCUGAGGCAGGUAGGAGUGUGUGUGUAUGUGUGUGUGUAUACACGCAUGUGCGCGUCUGUGCUUUGCCUUGGAAGUUGAACCAUAUAAAUCUUAUAUCAAUACUAGACACUGUGGCCAUGGGGAGAUGUGACUGAAGUUAGUCACACAUUUUGUAUUUACUGCCUUAUUUAAGAAAAGUUCUAUGCAACCCGUUUUGAUUCUGAAAGAACACAAAUAGUUCUGCCUUCCGUGAAAAUGAUACACAUAGUAUUUGAAUAUCAGUGUUUUGCUGAUUUUGUCAUUACUUGGUGCUCUGUGUUUUCACAUAAAAGUUAUGGUUUGCUAAGUUAAUAAUGAUAAACUCAUCCCACAUAAGACAUCAGAAGUGUUCUGAGGCAUAAAACUUAAAAUACUUUGAUCCCUUAUAUUUCAGUGGAAUAACAGUAGAAAUGGAGAAGGCUUCAAGGAGUAAGAAAAGCAUCACAGUUGUUUAAAUGUGUCCUUUUCUGCAACUCCUGGAAAUGCUGUGCUGGAAAGACCCAUUUAAGGCUAUAAUUUUUGUAUCUAGACACAUUUCACAUGACCUCUUCUAGAUAGUGUGCUAUUAGCUAUCCAAAUACAUUUUAAAAGUUUACUGGAAAAGAUUCUGUGACUUCAGUAACUUAUUUCAGUUCUUAUAGCAUCCAGAGGAGCCAGAAUUAUAAUUAAGUUCAGCUUAAAUACUUGGUUCUGCAAUUUAAACUCUUUGGUAUUUGUUAAAUGCAGAAGAAAAUGGGUCUUCGUCCCCUGAAAAAAUAAUGCCAUGAUUGCUUCAAAAUAGCAGCGAAUCAUGUAUUAACAUCUCUCUGUUAUCUUCAUCAUCUUCAUCUUUUUCCUCUAUGUAUUUGCUCCUAUCACAUUGCUUCUUUAAUCUUUAGAAUUAGUAUCUAGGUUUCUAAUCCUUUUUAUAAUUUUUAUAAAAUUAUAUUAAAUUUCUAUUGUGUUCUAAUUUUUCAUUAAGUCUACUUAAGUCUCAGAGUGGAAAGUAAGCAGAUUAUUCUGAGGAUAAUAAUUGUUUUUAUUGUUGGAUGAUGGUAGAUACACUUUCAUAUGUGUGCCAUAUUAUUGUGCAAUCUGGAGGAGGUUGCUUUGCUUCUCUGAGUCUCUGUUUCUGUGACCAUAAUCUCAGGUGUACUGUAGGAGUUAAAUUGGAGUGUGGAACUCCCUUGGCUGUAUGGUAACCUCACCAAUGACUUUUUUUUUUCCUGUUCUGGUAACUACCUCCAAUAGUGUCUUGUUUUUUUAAGACAUGAUUCUCUUGACUUUUAAUCACAGGAUUGUUUCUAGAUUUUAUUGUUUCACAUUUGUCAAAAACAAAAAAUUAAUCUAUAAAAAAGAAAGACACCAACCUGAGAAUGGCAAAUGUCUUGGUGGUGGAGAAUCUCAGCCCAUUCUAGACCAGGCAAAGCAGAAAUUUCAGUAUUUCUCUUGGAAAACACAUGGAUUCUGGCACCUGGAAUUUAAAUAAUUGUUUGUCUCCUUUUCUUAUCAGUUAUCCCCCCUCCAUGAAACCAUCUCAAACUAUGCUAUUGAACAAGUGUUAAACCAUAUUAUCUCGGAUUCAGAAUUCGUCUAAUAGACCUGGUAAUGAAUAUGAGAAAAUGCCAAACUGCCAAGAACAAGAAGGAUCCUAAACUUUUACUUGCUUUUUAAUUGUUGUUUGCAUUGAAGCUUGUCAGUUUAAUGUGCUUCUUUUAUACCAUUAUGUGAUCUUUGAGGAUGUGGUCUCCAAAUUGUGGUAAACCGUUUUUUUUUUUUUUUUUUUUGCCAUUUUUUUUCCUUAAACUUGCUAUGAAUAGAAGCUGAUAAUAUUUUUGAACUUUACCUAUGUAACUUUCACUUUUAUGGAAUCGAUUUUGAACACUGAGUUAAGCCAUCUACCAUUCUUUACCCAAUAUUUGCUUUAAUUUUGUUUUCUUUUUCCCCUUACACCCAGGGUCCAG
rnacentral:lncRNA from 1 species